rnacentral:tRNA from 1 species
AGGGCACAGCUCAGUGGCAGAGUGCAUGCCUAGCAUGCAUGAGGUCCUGGAUUCAAGUCUCAGUACCUCUA